ensembl:lncRNA
UCUUUUGGGGGAAAAAGAGGCAUGGCAAUUAGCUUCUGAAAUAGUCUCUCAAUCCUUGUAUACUUUUUUUUUUUUUAGAUCACUAAUGAAAAAUUUAUUUCCCCUCUCUCUGAGCUAGUGCUCUUUUAAUUACCUCAAGCUUUUUUUCAGCAAAGAAUGAAAACUUUUAAUAAAGUCUUUUGAUGGCAGAAGCUGAAACCUUGAGAAGAAGCACUGACUACAGUAAGACUUGUACUGAAGUCUGCAGAGCUUGAUAAUGCUCCAAAUGCAUACCCAAGUGCACAUUUGCACAUGCUCACAAUUGGUGAGUUAAACGUGCAAUUGUUGUCCUCCAUGAAAGGCAAGAAUGGAAAUCUUGCAAGAAUAAUACAGAAGACUAAAGUAAUUUUUAUGUUUGAUAUGUUGAAGAACACAAAGGAAGAAGAAAAGACUGGGAAGAAAUUCAAAGAACAAUUCCCUGUGCAAGUAGAAGCACAUGAAAGCUAUUGAACAGCCUGAGAUGAUAAAUAAAUGAAACAGUGAGAAAGUUCAGCUCACUCAGUCUGGCAAGGAAGAAGCUCAGGAGAGAGCUAGGAGCAGCCUGCAGCUGUUGGAAGGGUAGUACAGCUAAAGCAGAGCCAAGCUCUUCUUGGAACUGUCAGAUGAUUGAUAUAACAGAUUAUUAUGUGGGAGACCAGGUUGAUUGUAAUGAAACACCAUGUUCAUGCUGAAAGAGGUUAAAAUUGGAUCAUUUUGGCUAUAAUGGUGGUCAGCUAUCACCUGAGAAGGCUUUGAAAUGUUCACAUUUAAAGCAGGAGGUCAGUCUAGCUGACCACCAGUGGUCCUUUUCAACAACAACUUAAAAGAUGGCAAGAGAAUACAGUUAGCAAAAAUACUGGUAAGCGGAGACAAAUAAUUGACCUGGAAAAUCUGCUGAGAGGUAUCUCUAGUCUAAUGCCAAGUGUCACUGCAUAUUUUUAUUAGCUAAAGUUGCAAUUUAUAGUUAGCAAAUCAGAAUAUGCUUUGAGAAAUAACUUGGCUACUAAACAUGAAUUACUGAUUUUGCUCAACAGAGCCUCCUCUCAGCUGCUGCACUGCCUUGCUUCAGGAAGUCAUAGGACACAUGCACAUAACUUAACAGAAAUACGUCUGACAAGUAUAGAAGCACCUACAAACCAAUAAGAAGCUAUAGCCACUCUGCAAAACCUACCAGUGCCUAACAGCUGAAGCCGAUUGGAACACAUAACAAGACAUGCAAUGUGCUGGAACCUGCCUAUAUUCAGCUUCAGCUCAGGAAACAAUUACUGUAUCUACAGCCAUAGGCUUCAAUACGCAAUUGUAAUAGUAAUUACUGUACUUUUAUUAUGAAGCACAGCAGAAGAUUCACUUUGAGGAAGUCAAGAGGUAAAAACCUAAAUGUGAUUUAUACUUGACAUCUGUGCUGUGCUCCUUGAGUAUUACUGGGCUUCAAAGCUUAAUUAAAACCUUGUGUUGUGGCUUUAAGAAAACCUGAAUAAUAAAACUGAGUAAGC